CAGGGCUUGGAAGGCAGAGCAGCUGAACGGCUCCGAUGUUUUCCUUAGAAUUGUAUCUGAACAGAAAAUAAGAAAACACAGCUUAGAGUGACCAGUUCCAAGUUUCUGGAAUAAAAAAGUUUUCAGGGAAAUUCUGCUGCAGUUCCUUGGACCUUCAGAAAGUGUGUAGCCCUUGGGGCUUCAGCUAUGAUUGGGAAGUUUCUUUUUCGGUCCUAAAGAGCGAGUGAGGUCCUCCUCAAGGCUUGGAGAUCAAGGGUGCUGCCCAGGACCCCUGAGGUGAAGGAAAACUGUGUAAGGACCAGCUCUCUCCCGCGUACAUAUCUGCUUCCUGGUGAGUCACAGAAGGUGACUCUUCCACAUUCCUGAUCAAAUAGCUCCAAGAACACAUACCUCAAGUUCUAAUAUAAAAAGAAGAUUCCAGAAAAG